GCUCAGGAUGAACGCUAGCUACAGGCUUAACACAUGCAAGUCGAGGGGCAUCAGGAAGAAAGCUUGCUUUCUUUGCUGGCGACCGGCGCACGGGUGAGUAACACGUAUCCAACCUGCCCUUUACUCGGGGAUAGCCUUUCGAAAGAAAGAUUAAUACCCGAUGGCAUAAUGAUUCCGCAUGGUUUCAUUAUUAAAGGAUUCCGGUAAAGGAUGGGGAUGCGUUCCAUUAGGUUGUUGGUGAGGUAACGGCUCACCAAGCCUUCGAUGGAUAGGGGUUCUGAGAGGAAGGUCCCCCACAUUGGAACUGAGACACGGUCCAAACUCCCACGGGAGGCAGCAGUGAGGAAUAUUGGUCAAUGGGCGCUAGCCUGAACCAGCCAAGUAGCGUGAAGGAUGAAGGCUCUAUGGGUCGUAAACUUCUUUUAUAUAAGAAUAAAGUGCAGUAUGUAUACUGUUUUGUAUGUAUUAUAUGAAUAAGGAUCGGCUAACUCCGUGCCAGCAGCCGCGGUAAUACGGAGGAUCCGAGCGUUAUCCGGAUUUAUUGGGUUUAAAGGGAGCGUAGGUGGACUGGUAAGUCAGUUGUGAAAGUUUGCGGCUCAACCGUAAAAUUGCAGUUGAUACUGUCAGUCUUGAGUACAGUAGAGGUGGGCGGAAAUUCGUGGUGUAGCGGUGAAAUGCUUAGAUAUCACGAAGAACUCCGAUUGCGAAGGCAGCUCACUGGACUGCAACUGACACUGAUGCUCGAAAGUGUGGGUAUCAAACAGGAUUAGAUACCCUGGUAGUCCACACAGUAAACGAUGAAUACUCGCUGUUUGCGAUAUACAGUAAGCGGCCAAGCGAAAGCAUUAAGUAUUCCACCUGGGGAGUACGCCGGCAACGGUGAAACUCAAAGGAAUUGACGGGGGCCCGCACAAGCGGAGGAACAUGUGGUUUAAUUCGAUGAUACGCGAGGAACCUUACCCGGGCUUAAAUUGCAGUGGAAUGAUGUGGAAACAUGUCAGUGAGCAAUCACCGCUGUGAAGGUGCUGCAUGGUUGUCGUCAGCUCGUGCCGUGAGGUGUCGGCUUAAGUGCCAUAACGAGCGCAACCCUUAUCUUUAGUUACUAACAGGUUAUGCUGAGGACUCUAGAGAGACUGCCGUCGUAAGAUGUGAGGAAGGUGGGGAUGACGUCAAAUCAGCACGGCCCUUACGUCCGGGGCUACACACGUGUUACAAUGGGGGGUACAGAAGGCAGCUAGCGGGUGACCGUAUGCUAAUCCCAAAAGCCUCUCUCAGUUCGGAUCGGAGUCUGCAACCCGACUUCGUGAAGCUGGAUUCGCUAGUAAUCGCGCAUCAGCCACGGCGCGGUGAAUACGUUCCCGGGCCUUGUACACACCGCCCGUCAAGCCAUGGGAGCCGGGGGUACAUGAAGUACGUAACCGCAAGGAUCGUCCUAGGGUAAAAC
rnacentral:rRNA from 1 species